AGAGUUUGAUCCUGGCUCAGAUUGAACGCUGGCGGCAGGCCUAACACAUGCAAGUCGAACGGUAACAGGAAGCAACUUGCUGCUUUGCUGACGAGUGGCGGACGGGUGAGUAAUGUCUGGGAAACUGCCCGAUGGAGGGGGAUAACUACUGGAAACGGUAGCUAAUACCGCAUAAUGUCGCAAGACCAAAGAGGGGGACCUUCGGGCCUCUUGCCAUCGGAUGUGCCCAGAUGGGAUUAGCUAGUUGGUGAGGUAACGGCUCACCAAGGCGACGAUCCCUAGCUGGUCUGAGAGGAUGACCAGCCACACUGGAACUGAGACACGGUCCAGACUCCUACGGGAGGCAGCAGUGGGGAAUAUUGCACAAUGGGCGCAAGCCUGAUGCAGCCAUGCCGCGUGUAUGAAGAAGGCCUUCGGGUUGUAAAGUACUUUCAGCGGGGAGGAAGGGGUUAAGGUUAAUAACCUUAGCCAUUGACGUUACCCGCAGAAGAAGCACCGGCUAACUCCGUGCCAGCAGCCGCGGUAAUACGGAGGGUGCAAGCGUUAAUCGGAAUUACUGGGCGUAAAGCGCACGCAGGCGGUCUGUCAAGUCGGAUGUGAAAUCCCCGGGCUCAACCUGGGAACUGCAUUCGAAACUGGCAGGCUUGAGUCUCGUAGAGGGGGGGUAGAAUUCCAGGUGUAGCGGUGAAAAUGCGUAGAGAUCUGGAGGAAUACCGGGUGGCGAAAGGCGGCCCCCCUGGAACGAAAGACUGACGCUC
rnacentral:rRNA from 1 species